rnacentral:rRNA from 1 species
AUGAACGGCAUUGCUCCUGCCUCCGCCCCCGCCCCCGCUCCGGCCGCCCCCUCGUGGCACCACGUCGGCAGGACCCUCUCCGGCGCCGGCGCUACGGGCCUGACUGCCGCCGGCACGGUGCUCCUACUCCUCUACCUCGCGGGCCGCUUCGUCUGGGUGUACAACAAGGAGGUGGCCGCCGCGAACGCGCCCGGCGCACGGGUCGACUCGGCCGCCCCGGUCCGCGUCGUCGUGGUCCCGCGGCCCCUCCGCAGCGCCGCGCCGCCGGUGUCGCAGCUCCCGGCGUUCGUGCGCGGCGGGGAGGGCCACCGGGGCGCGCCGGAGGAGUGCGCGGUGUGCCUCUCGGAGUUCGCGGAGCGGGAGGCCGGGCGGCGGCUGCCGGGGUGCGGCCACGGGUUCCACGAGGCGUGCAUCGCGGCGUGGCUCCGGCUCAACUCGACGUGUCCCCUCUGCCGCGCCGCCGUGGCGUCGCCCGGGUGA